UUGGUGUGGAAAAAAAAUAUUCCCUACUUAUUGCUCUUCUGAGGUCUAAUUUUAUGUGCUUUACCAAAUUUUAUAAUUGCAAGAUUAUGUCUUAUAAUUUAAAAAGACAUAUAAAUUGUUUAAAACAAAGGGGCUGGAAAGGGGACUCACAGGUUAAGAGCACUUGCUGGUCGUGUGGGAGUUUAGGUGUCAGCACCCACAGGGUAGCUAACAACCACCUGUAAUCUCAGAUCUAGGGCAUCUGACAUGCUCUUUUACCCCCAUGGAUACCAGGUAUCCAUACAUGUACACGGAAGCAAGCACAAGCACACAUGAUAAAUCUUAGAAAGAAAGAAAAAAGAGAGGAGAGAAAAGCCGAGCGAAACCAAGCUCAGAUGCACUCACUGUGGUUAGAGUCUUCUAUUAUAUUUGCCCAGACAUCAGCGACAUCUUUGAAAUAUUUUUAUUUCUUGAGAAUUUCAUACAUGCAUUGUCCUGGAUGCUUUUUUUUUUUAAAUAGUAAAAGUAUGUCUUUAUCCUAUUAGUAUAAGCAAAAACAAAGGAAAACUUUGAAACUUGACUGUGAAUUAUCUUUUAUUUAUUUAUUUUUUGCUUCAAGGCUUGGAAGAAUGAUGUUUUACUCUAAUAAAAUUAAGUUCAUAUAUUUAAUUUAAAUAGCCCAAAGAGUUUGCAAUUGAUAAAGGACUUUUUUUUUUUUUUUGACAGUAGACAUCUUUAUUAGCUGGUUGGAGACUAUGUUGGGAAUUGAGGAUUCCAGUGUGUGCCGGGUGCUUUUAUGUCAACUUGACCCAAGCUAAAGUUAUCUGAGAGAAGGGAACCACAGU
rnacentral:lncRNA from 1 species